rnacentral:rRNA from 1 species
UGGGGAAUUUUGGACAAUGGGCGAAAGCCUGAUCCAGCAAUGCCGCGUGUGUGAAGAAGGCCUUCGGGUUGUAAAGCACUUUUGUCCGGAAAGAAAUCCUUGGCUCUAAUACAGUCGGGGGAUGACGGUACCGGAAGAAUAAGCACCGGCUAACUACGUGCCAGCAGCCGCGGUAAUACGUAGGGUGCAAGCGUUAAUCGGAAUUACUGGGCGUAAAGCGUGCGCAGGCGGUUUGCUAAGACCGAUGUGAAAUCCCCGGGCUCAACCUGGGAACUGCAUUGGUGACUGGCAGGCUAGAGUAUGGCAGAGGGGGGUAGAAUUCCACGUGUAGCAGUGAAAUGCGUAGAGAUGUGGAGGAAUACCGAUGGCGAAGGCAGCCCCCUGGGCCAAUACUGACGCUCAUGCACGAAAGCGUGGGGAGCAAACAGGAUUAGAUACCCUGGUAGUCCACGCCCUAAACGAUGUCAACUAGUUGUUGGGGAUUCAUUUCCUUAGUAACGUAGCUAACGCGUGAAGUUGACCGCCUGGGAGUACGGUCGCAAGAUUAAAACUUAAAGGAAUUGAC